rnacentral:rRNA from 1 species
CUACGGGACGCUGCAGUGGGGAAUAUUGCACAAUGGGCGAAAGCCUGAUGCAGCAACGCCGCGUGAGGGACGACGGCCUUCGGGUUGUAAACCUCUUUUAGCAGGGAAGAAGCGAAAGUGACGGUACCUGCAGAAAAAGCACCGGCUAACUACGUGCCAGCAGCCGGGUAAUACGUAGGGUGCAAGCGUUGUCCGGAAUUAUUGGGCGUAAAGAGCUCGUAGGCGGUUUGUCGUGUCUGCUGUGAAAAUCCGAGGCUCAACCUCGGACCUGCAGUGGGUACGGGCAAACUAGAGUGCGGUAGGGGAGAUUGGAAUUCCUGGUGUAGCGGUGGAAUGCGCAGAUAUCAGGAGGAACACCAAUGGCGAAGGCAGAUCUCUGGGCCGUAACUGACGCUGAGGAGCGAAAGCGUGGGGAGCGAACAGGAUUAGAUACCCCUGUAGUC